GAUGAACGCUGGCGGCGUGCCUAAUACAUGCAAGUCGAGCGAACGGACGAGAAGCUUGCUUCUCUGAUGUUAGCGGCGGACGGGUGAGUAACACGUGGAUAACCUACCUAUAAGACUGGGAUAACUUCGGGAAACCGGAGCUAAUACCGGAUAAUAUUUUGAACCGCAUGGUUCAAAAGUGAAAGACGGUCUUGCUGUCACUUAUAGAUGGAUCCGCGCUGCAUUAGCUAGUUGGUAAGGUAACGGCUUACCAAGGCAACGAUGCAUAGCCGACCUGAGAGGGUGAUCGGCCACACUGGAGCUGAGACACGGUCCAGACUCCUACGGGAGGCAGCAGUAGGGAAUCUUCCGCAAAGGGCGAAAGCCUGACGGAGCAACGCCGCGUGAGUGAUGAAGGUCUUCGGAUCGUAAAACUCUGUUAUUAGGGAAGAACAUAUGUGUAAGUAACUGUGCACAUCUUGACGGUACCUAAUCAGAAAGCCACGGCUAACUACGUG
rnacentral:rRNA from 1 species